rnacentral:rRNA from 1 species
GUACACGCUGUGACUAGCAUAUCAAUAAGCGGAGGAAAAGAAACUAACAAGGAUUCCCCUAGUAACGGCGAGUGAAGCGGGAAGAGCUCAAAUUUGAAAUCUUAAAGGGUUUCCCUUUACGAAUUGUAGUUUAAAGAAGUGUUUUCUGUUGAGGUUUUGGUAAAAGUUCUUUGGAAUAGGGACAUCAUAGAGGAUGAGAAUCCCGUAUUUGACCUUUACUUUCAACUUUGUGAUACACUUUCAAAGAGUCGGAUUGUUUGGGAAUGCAGUCCAAAAUGGGUGGUAAAUUUCAUCUAAAGCUAAAUAUUGGCGAGAGACCGAUAGCGAACAAGUACCGUGAGGGAAAGAUGAAAAGAACUUUGAAAAGAGAGUUAAACAGUACGUGAAAUUGUCAAAAGGGAAGCGUUUGACACCAGUGUUGUUUUUCUGAAAAUCAAUUAAAGAACUGUUUAUGCUAAGUUGUUUAGACUUUAUCAGCUAACUGUUUAGUUUUGAGCUUUUCUUUAAUGCACUUUUCAGUUAACAAGUCAACAUCAAUUUCUUUUGCUGUAAAAAAGCUUGAGGAAGGUGGCUUGAGAUUCGUCUUAAGUGUUUAUAGCCUCUUGCCUAUGCAGUCGGAGAGAUUGAGGUCUGCAGCGUAGAUCCUUCGGGGCUAAAUGCAUUUGUGCUAAGUUAUAGCAUUUUAUAGACAACUUGUUGACUAUGAUUUGUCUUGUAGCUUACUCGCUUAUGUUAUUUUACCUACGCUUAGGAUGUUGAAGAUGUAGCACAUCAU